AACGCUAGCUACAGGCUUAACACAUGCAAGUCGAGGGGCAGCGCAGUGCAGCAAUGCAUGGGCGGCGACCGGCGCACGGGUGCGUAACGCGUAUCCAACCUUCCCGUUACUCAUGGAUAGCCUUCCGAAAGGGAGAUUAAUACAUGAUGGUGUUGAAAUUCCGCAUGUUAUUUCAACUAAAGAUUUAUCGGUAACGGAUGGGGAUGCGUUCCAUUAGCUUGUUGGCGGGGUAACGGCCCACCAAGGCUUCGAUGGAUAGGGGUUCUGAGAGGAAGGUCCCCCACACUGGAACUGAGACACGGUCCAGACUCCUACGGGAGGCAGCAGUGAGGAAUAUUGGUCAAUGGCCGGAAGGCUGAACCAGCCAAGUAGCGUGAAGGAUGAAGGUUCUAUGGAUUGUAAACUUCUUUUAUGAGGGAAUAAAACCUCCCACGUGUGGGAGCUUGUAUGUACCUUAUGAAUAAGCAUCGGCUAACUCCGUGCCAGCAGCCGCGGUAAUACGGAGGAUGCGAGCGUUAUCCGGAUUUAUUGGGUUUAAAGGGAGCGUAGACGGGAGAUUAAGUCAGCUGUGAAAGUUUGAGGCCCAACCUUAAAAUUGCAGUUGAUACUGGUUUCCUUGAGUGCGGUUGAGGUGUGUGGAAUUCGUGGUGUAGCGGUGAAAUGCUUAGAUAUCACGAAGAACUCCGAUUG
rnacentral:rRNA from 1 species